rnacentral:rRNA from 1 species
GAUGAACGCUAGCGGCAGGCCUAACACAUGCAAGUCGAGGGAGAGGAUAACGUCGGGUCUCCAAAAACGGCGCACGGGUACGUAACGCGAAUACAAUGUGAAUUUAACAUAGGGACAGCGAGAAGUAAUGGGGAUUAAUACUAAAAGGGAUAAAAGAGUGGAAUCGCAUGUAUAUUAAGGGUAAGGUGGUGAAAGAUGAGUAUGCGCAGCAUUAGCUAGUUGGUAAGGUAACGGCUUACCAAGGCGACGAUGGAUAGCGGACCUGAGAGGGUGAUCGGCCACACUGGACCUGCGCCACGGUCCAGACUCCUACGGGAGGCAGCAGCAGGGAAUCUUCCGCAAUGGGCGAAAGCCUGACGGAGCAACGCCGCGUGAGUGAUGAAGGUCUUAGGAUCGUAAAACUCUGUUAUUAGGGAAGAACAAAUGUGUAAGUAACUAUGCACGUCUUGACGGUACCUAAUCAGAAAGCCACGGCUAACCACGUG